rnacentral:RNase_P_RNA from 1 species
CAGGUAAGUAAGGUGAUUGCUCCCGACUUGUCGGGGGAGGAAAGUCCGAACACCAGUUCUUUUAGGAUUAUGGGCAGUCGAUAACGUCGACCAAUAUAAAUAUAUGGAAAUUGCCUCUCGCGAGAAAUUUUCAUUUAUGAAAUUUAGGGAAAGUGCCACAGAGACGAUACUAUCCCCGAUUUACCCCGCCAUGGCGGGACAAGUCGGGGUGAAAGGUGAAAAGUUGGAAGAUGUAUUUCGCUUUUGUGAAAUGCUACUUCUUUUCCCGGCUGGCGACAGCCGAGGACGGUAAACCCUGCCCGGUGCAAGGCCAAAAUUCCCGCAAGGGAUAUGGUAGGCCGCUCGAACCUUGUAGUAAUAUAAGGUCCAGAUAGAUAAUCGCCUCCCGCCCCAGUUUUGCUGGUAUGCUAAAUUUUUAUUUUAUAUCAGUUGCGCAAAGAUUAGUUAUAAAAUAAAAAGUAUAUUUGCAAAACUGGAGCGGGAAACAAAAUUCGGCUUAUUUACUUGCCUGAAUA